AGGGAGACCAUUUGUUUUGUCCCAUUUUCUUCAUUUUCUCUUCAUUUCUUCAAGCUAAAUCAAAAGGGAGUGUUCUUAGGAGGAUUCUAUCCAAGAAAACAAAUUAAAUAACAACUUAGAGAGUUAUAGAGCUUGAGAGAAACAAAGAGAAGAAGCUGGAAAUUGGAAGAGGAGGACAUGAUUUUUGUAAAUUUUUGCAAGAAUUCAUUGAAAUAAGUUAAAGUAGCAAAGGUAAGCAACAUACCCUUUAGUAAUUUCGUUUUUCUCUCUUGUUCUUGCAUGAGGAGAAGAAAACCUCCAAGUUUAAAAUUCUAGGGUUCAUAUAAAUAUUUUGGGGGAGUAAUUGUUCAUGUGAAUUUCGAGAUUAAUUGCAUGAUAAUGGCUUGAUUUGCUGAAAAAUAGAAAGAGUAAAUUGAUUUGAAACUAUGGGUUUUAGGAUUGCAACAGGGCAGGCACUUCGGCAGCCAUAGUUUGACUUUUCACCGUUGGAUUAAAUUUAUUUUUGGAUAUGUUAUUAUGCUCAAUGUCACCUACAUUUUUACUGGAGGGAUUGUAAAUAUCAAACUUCGUGUGAGUGCUGUCACCGGAGGAACAAUUCUGGAAAAUCACCCUUCAAGACAACCUUGUUCGUCAGCUGCUAUAUCAUCAUUUCACCGUUGGAUUGGUCUGGAUUUUAGAUAUGUUGUUCAUCCAGAUGUUAUAUAAAUUCAGAACGGUUUAGAUCGGAAAAUAACACUCCUACCAGAAAUUGUACUUCCUGAACAGCAGGUCUCUAAAUUUCAGGUCAGUCCGGUAUUGUUCUGAUAUCGGGAGUUUUAACCGUUGGAUUUAUGUUAAUUUUGGAUAUGUUAUUAUGCUCAAUGUCACCUACAUUCUGACCAGAGGGAUUGUAAAUAUCAGACUUCGUUUGAGGGCUGUCACCGGAGGAACAUGUCUUGAAAAUCACCCUUCAAGACAACCUUGUUCGUCAGCUGUUAUGUACUUCCUGAACAGCAGGUCUCCAAAUUUCAGGUCAGUCCGGUAUUGUUCUGAUAUCGAGAGUUUUAACCGUUGGAUGUAUGUUAAUUUUGGAUAUGUUAUUCUAAUGACGAUGAUGUAUAAUUCCACCGUUUGGAUGUAUUGAAUUCUAAAUUUAAAUAAUGAUGUUUUAAGUUUGGUUUGAGAAAUAUUGAAUGAGAAUAUGAGGGUUAGCAUAAAAAGUAUGUUUUGGGACUAAGGAUAAUGGUAAUGGGUUUAAUGAUGAUGGUUGUGUUUGUGUUAUGUUUGAGUCAUGUUUGAUGUGUUGAUAAGUGAUGGUAUAGUUAAAUUCUAUAAAGAAUAGUGAUUGACUAAUAUUUUGGUUGUGUUAGAAUGGGAAAUCAUGUUGUAAGUUGAAUUAUGAUAUAAGGAAUCAUUUUGAGUGUGCUUUUGGAAAAAUUUGGCAUGUGUAGUCAUUGAUGAAAUUUAAGUUAAAUUACAUUGUUUGGUGAUAGAUUAAAUGUCUUGGGACAAAAGAAAAUCGGUGACGAAAAGUCAUGCCCUUUGGACAUUGAAGAUCAUUGAUGAAGAAUUGAAUUAAAUGGGCGUUUAAUUUAAAUGACAAGUACGAAAAUAAAAUACAUUCAUAGAAAUUGUUUAUGGAAGUAUUUGAUUUUGUGAAUUUAUGAAUAUUAUGAAUAAAUCGGGAAGAUUCAAUAAUGAUUCAGGAUGUUAUAUUAAAAAUAUAGGAGAAGCAUUCACUCGACUUCUCAGGAGCU
rnacentral:lncRNA from 1 species